rnacentral:rRNA from 1 species
GCCUACGGGGGGCAGCAGUGGGGGAUAUUGCACAAUGGGGGAAACCCUGAUGCAGCGACGCCGCGGGUGGGAAGACGGUCCUCUGGAUUGUAAACCACUGUCCCCAGGGACGAAAAUGACGGUACCUGGGGAGGCGGCUCCGGCUAACUACGUGCCAGCAGCCGCGGUGAUACGUAGGUGGCAAGCGUUGUCCGGAUUUACUGGGUGUAAAGGGCGUGCAGCCGGAGAGACAAGUCAGAUGUGA